rnacentral:rRNA from 1 species
CAGUCGCCACGGGAAAACGGAGGGGAGCUAGCGUUAUUCGGAAUUACUGGGCGUAAAGCGCACGUAGGCGGCUUUGUAAGUUAGAGGUGAAAGCCUGGAGCUCAACUCCAGAAUUGCCUUUAAGACUGCAUCGCUUGAAUCCAGGAGAGGUGAGUGGAAUUCCGAGUGUAGAGGUGAAAUUCGUAGAUAUUCGGAAGAACACCAGUGGCGAAGGCGGCUCACUGGACUGGUAUUGACGCUGAGGUGCGAAAGCGUGGGGAGCAAACAGGAUUAGAUACCCCAGUAGUCCCUGUCUCUUAUU